AUCCAAGUCUAUGCCCCAACCAGUAAUGCUGAAGAAGCUGAAGUUGAAUGGUUCUAUGAAGACCUACAAGACCUUUUAGAACUAACACCCAAAAAAGAUGUCCUUUUCAUUAUAGGGGACUGGAAUGCAAAAGUAGGAAGUCAAGAAACACCUGGAGUAACAGGCAAAUUUGGCCUUGGAAUGUGGAAUGAAGCAGGGCAAAGACUAAUAGAGUUUUGCCAAGAAAAUGCACUGGUCAUAGCAAACACCCUCUCCAGGGCCCACAGCCCCUGGAAUCAGGAAGGCACCCACGGCUACCUGCUCAGAGGGGGGGCCUGUCCACAGAGAGGAAGGCGGCCCAGGGUGGAACAAUAUGCCUGGGCAGGAAGCACCCAGAACACACCCAGCACAGAGGGCACCGCCUCCAUGGAUUCCAGGGCGGGCACGUGGCCCAGAGAGCCCACUCCAGGUGCUGGAGCCCCCACCCAGCCCGGGCACAGGGUGCCCGCCCCCACCUUCUGCCCCGCCCGCAGCCCUGGAGACUCGGGACGGAGGAGGACGUCCUGCUGCAGCUGGCGGGUGAGGACGGGCUGUCCUGGCAGCGGCCCCUUGAGCUGGCAGCACUCUCAGCCCAGAGGCCGCGGCCUCCCUGUCACACGUCAGGAUGCACGGGGCUCCCGCGACUUCCUGAACUUCGUUGGGGUCACACUCACACACGAUCACAAAGAGCCUGGAGUCUGAGGGCCAGGAAGCGAUGCUCCUCAGGAGAGACCAGACUUUCAGGAGCCGGGGCCCAUGGGCGAGGCCACAGGGCUGCCUCACUCGACGUGCUCCUUUUCCAAAGGCUUAUUAGCAGUGAGUUGUGUUUGCAGGGUCUCCCCCUGUCCUGGAAUCCAGAACUUCUUCAAUGUGAGGGAAAAGAUGGCGUGGACGCCUGGCGGGGCAUCUGGUUGACCAGAGCAGAACCGGACAUGAGGAAGUCCCCUAAGCACCAGCCCCAACCCCCAAACCGAACUGGCUCCUCCGGAAGCCAGCAGGACAGGCAGAAGAGACGGGGCGGGGCAGAACUGCUGCUCACAACGGGCCGACGCACACCACUGCUGACCGAGAGCCACCGGUCACAGCUCAGCCCUGCAGCUGCGGGCUGUGCCAAGGCCAAGGAAGGGCACAGCUCGGCCAUCGCCAUCAAGCUUGUUUCACAGAGGGGACCAUGGGGUGGGUCAAGCCAGCCAGUCAGGAACGUGAAAGCCUGCAGCCUUCACACUGAUUUGCUUGCUGCACGAGAUGCUUAUUCCACCCCAGAAGAAUUCUUUAAAAGAAAUAUUCCAGUAGAGCCAAAGACAGCUGUGAAAUCAUCCUGACCUCAGGGUGCGAAGCGCGGCAGGGUGAGCCCACCCCUCUAGCAGCUUCCCUGCGGGGGGCUCCCGGGCACACACCCCAGCCUCUGCCCCACCUAAGAUGGCACAGGGCACCCAGGGCCACUCCCCGAGGCCGGCUGCCUGUCGCCCCACGUUCUUCACGACAUUAUUAAUAGAAGCUUGUCCUGAGCCAGCACCUUAGGCUCCUGCAGUCUCCGCGGUUCCCAGGGCGCACCUUGCGGCCGCCUGGCCCGCCCUCCCGCGUGUGCCAGCCCUGCUCCGCCCUCCCCGUCCUCCCUGCCGGGACCUGCUGUCUUCCGGCACUCCAGCCCUCCGUCUUUGAAGCUAAGGCUCCCGCCUCUAGCUAGAUAGGGAACUGUGGACAGCCCCACCCCCUCCUCUAAUCUGGCCAAGGGGGCAGGGAGGCAGGAAGCUGUUCCUGCUCUCCAACCAGUUAUUUCGUUUACGUUAAGCCGGACCCUACUGCUUUCUGGCUGAGCUGUCAGAGUUGCAGUUUCCCUCAAGGCGGCUGCCUUCCGAGGCCUGCCGCGGGAAGACGCUGCGGGCGUCCACAGGACCCCCCGCGGGCAUCGGCCGCCCCUCCUCCACGGAGGGGCACCUGGCAUCACCGGGCGAACAGGGGCUCGAAAGGAGGAGGCCUGAGGGUGGCUGGGGCGGCGCACAGCGCCCUGCCCCUCCGCCGCCGCUGCCCUCCUCCCUGCAUAAGGGUCGGUGUGCCCGCAGGA
rnacentral:lncRNA from 1 species